CCUACGGGUGGCAGCAGUGGGGAAUAUUGCACAAUGGGCGCAAGCCUGAUGCAGCCAUGCCGCGUGUGUGAAGAAGGCCUUCGGGUUGUAGAGCACUUUCAGCGGGGAGGAAGGCGGUGAGGUUAAUAACCUCAUCGAUUGACGUUACCCGCAGAAGAAGCACCGGCUAACUCCGUGCCAGCAGCCGCGGUAAUACGGAGGGUGCAAGCGUUAAUCGGAAUUACUGGGCGUAAAGCGCACGCAGGCGGUCUGUCAAGUCGGAUGUGAAAUCCCCGGGCUCAACCUGGGAACUGCAUUCGAAACUGGCAGGCUAGAGUCUUGUAGAGGGGGGUAGAAUUCCAGGUGUAGCGGCGAAAUGCGUAGAGAUCUGGAGGAAUACCGGUGGCGAAGGCGGCCCCCUGGACAAAGACUGACGCUCAGGUGCGAAAGCGUGGGGAGCAAACAGGAUUAGAUACCCGGGUAGUC
rnacentral:rRNA from 1 species